rnacentral:rRNA from 1 species
GACGGGUGAGUAACGCGUGGGUAACCUGCCUUAUACAGGGGGAUAACAGUCAGAAAUGGCUGCUAAUACCGCAUAAGCGCACAGAGCUGCAUGGCUCGGUGUGAAAAACUCCGGUGGUAUAAGAUGGACCCGCGUUGGAUUAGCUGGUUGGUGGGGUAACGGCCCACCAAGGCGACGAUCCAUAGCCGGCCUGAGAGGGUGAACGGCCACAUUGGGACUGAGACACGGCCCAGACUCCUACGGGAGGCAGCAGUGGGGAAUAUUGCACAAUGGGCGCAAGCCUGAUGCAGCAACGCCGCGUGAAGGAAGACGGUUUUCGGAUUGUAAACUUCUGUUCUUAGUGAAGAAUAAUGACGGUAGCUAAGGAGCAAGCCACGGCUAACUACGUGCCAGCAGCCGCGGUAAUACGUAGGUGGCAAGCGUUGUCCGGAAUUACUGGGUGUAAAGGGAGCGCAGGCGGGUGAUCAAGUCAGCUGUGAAAACUACGGGCUUAACCCGUAGACUGCAGUUGAAACUGUUCAUCUUGAGUGAAGUAGAGGUUGGCGGAAUUCCGAGUGUAGCGGUGAAAUGCGUAGAUAUUCGGAGGACACCGGUGGCGAA